GAUGAACGCUGGCGGCGUGCCUAAUACAUGCAAGUAGAACGCUGAAGGAGGAGCUUGCUCUUCUGGAUGAGUUGCGAACGGGUGAGUAACGCGUAGGUAACCUGCCUGGUAGCGGGGGAUAACUAUUGGAAACGAUAGCUAAUACCGCAUGACAACAGUUAUUGCAUGAUAACUGUUUAAAAGGGGCAACUGCUCCACUACCAGAUGGACCUGCGUUGUAUUAGCUAGUUGGUGAGGUAACGGCUCACCAAGGCGACGAUACAUAGCCGACCUGAGAGGGUGAUCGGCCACACUGGGACUGAGACACGGCCCAGACUCCUACGGGAGGCAGCAGUAGGGAAUCUUCGGCAAUGGACGGAAGUCUGACCGAGCAACGCCGCGUGAGUGAAGAAGGUUUUCGGAUCGUAAAGCUCUGUUGCAAGAGAAGAACGAGUGUGAGAGUGGAAAGUUCACACUGCGACGGUAUCUUACCAGAAAGGGACGGCUAACUACGUG
rnacentral:rRNA from 1 species